CAGUAGCCGCGGGAAUACGAAGGGUGCAAGCGUUAAUCGGAAUUACUGGGCGUAAAGCGUGCGUAGGCGGUGAGUUAAGUCUGCUGUGAAAUCCCCGAGCUCAACCUGGGAAUGGCAGUGGAUACUGACUGACUAGAGUAUGGUAGAGGGUGGUGGAAUUCCCUGUGUAGCGGUGAAAUGCGUAGAUAUAGGAAGGAACACCAGUGGCGAAGGCGACCACCUGGACUAAUACUGACACUGAGGUGCGAAAGCGUGGGGAGCAAACAGGAUUAGAUACCCGCGUAGUCCCUGUCUCUUAUAC
rnacentral:rRNA from 1 species